GACCAAUUUACCCUUUUUUUUAAGGCCAAACCACAGGGACUAUCCGGGCAUUUGAAACCCUAAUCACAAAACAAAACCCUCUUCAUUUGAAACCCUAAUCACAAAAUCCGCACACUAUAGAUCCCCCUGCUCCCUCUCUCACAGAACUCCGAUCACCGGAGGUGAUCUCCGGCCGGUUUUAGCGCCGUCUCCUCGUUCUCCGACCAAUCACCUCCCCCACCUCCACCCUCCUCUUCCGACGAGACCCUCACACCACACACCACUCUCCUGUUUCACGAAAUUAUACGGCCACCACCUGAUGGUGGUGGCGUACGGUGCUGCUAGACGAUGAGAACAAAGAAUUAGAGAGGGGAAUCAGAGAAAGGAGGGAACCGACGAGGUGUGCGACGGCCGGCGACGGCGAGAACGACGACAGUGGCCGUGAGCGACGGUGAAGGCAAUCUUCCGACAAGUUUUGUAUCUCGACGAUGAUGAUUAGGAUGAUGAAUUGAUGAUGCGGUGGUGUUGAAGGAUUUACACAUCUUUUAAUCAAUUUUUGAUGGUUUUGGAUGUAUUGGAGGUGGAGCCGCAACGGUGGUGGUGGCCGACGGAGAUGUCGGCCGAAGACAGCGACAAAGACAGUGGUUAGAUCUGUUUCGGUUCAGAUUUCGCGACACGGUUCAGAUUUUGAAGGUGGAGGGAUUAAAUGAAGAUGGAGGUGGCUGCUGUAAGUUAUUCGGUUCAGAUUUCGCGACACGGUGAAAAACGGCUGGAAAACCGGACUUUCGCCGGAAUUGGAGAGGGAGAGAGAGAGGGUGAUGGUGGAGGGUGGAGGAGGGUGAUGGUGGGUGGAGGUUGAAGAUGAAGUGUGGUGGUGGAGUUUUAUAAAUAAAAAGAGAAAAAUGCCCGGAUAGUCCCUGUGG